AGUGCCUGUAAUGCAGGCUGUUUGGAUGUUUAAAACGCACCCAGAGAAAGGGCCGGGCAAGACCGGUGCCAGCCGCCGCGGUAAUACCGGCGGCUCGAGUGGUGACCACUUUUAUUGGGCUUAAAGCGUCCGUAGCUGGAUUGUUAAGUCUCUUGGGAAAUCUUCCGGCUUAACCGGAAGGCGUCUAAGGGAUACUGGCAAUCUUGGGAUCGGGAGAGGUGAGAGGUACUCUGGGGUAGGAGUGAAAUCCUGUAAUCCUCAGGGGACCACCUGUGGCGAAGGCGUCUCACCAGAACGACUCCGACAGUGAGGGACGAAAGCUGGGGGAGCAAACCGGAUUAGAUACCCGGGUAGUCCCAGCCGUAAACGAUGCGCGUUAGGUGUAUCGGUGACCACGAGUCACCGAGGUGCCGAAGGGAAACCGUGAAACGUGCCGCCUGGGAAGUACGGUCGCAAGGCUGGAACUUAAAGGAAUUGGCGGGGGAGCACCACAACAGGUGGAGCCUGCGGUUUAAUUGGACUCAACGCCGGAAAACUCACCGGAUAAGACAGCGGAAUGAUAGCCAGGUUGAAGACUUUGCUUGACUAGCUGAGAGGAGGUGCAUGGCCGUCGUCAGUUCGUACUGUGAAGCAU
rnacentral:rRNA from 1 species